UACGUAGGUGGCAAGCGUUGUCCGGAUUUAUUGGGUUUAAAGGGUGCGUAGGCGGCCCUGUAAGUCAGCGGUGAAAUACGGCAGCUCAACUGUCGAGGUGCCGUUGAUACUGCGGGGCUUGAGUGUUGAUGAGGCAGGCGGAAUUGACGGUGUAGCGGUGAAAUGCUUAGAUAUCGUCAAGAACACCGAUAGCGAAGGCAGCUUGCCAAGCAACAACUGACGCUGAGGCACGAAAGUGCGGGGAUCAAACAGG
rnacentral:rRNA from 1 species